UCUAUAGAGUGUCCUAACCUACUUCAUCUUUGCAUGGUUUGAUAACUGCACAGUGGCAGAUAGGAAGGCGCUCCAAAGGGUCACCACUUCUGCACAGAAAAUCAUGGGUUGCCCUUUUUCUCCUGACUUUGGAAGAACUUUAUAGUCCUCACGGCCUUAAGAAAGCUCUGAUAAUUCUUGGGGAUCCAUCUCACCCGGCAUAUUCUUUUUUUGAAUUAUUACCAUCUGGCUGGCGGGACAGGGUGACAAAGACAAGGACAAACAGACUGAAGGAGAUGUUGACAAGCUGGAAAGUGUCCAGAGGAGGGUGACUAAAAUGAUCCAGGGCUUGGAGAACAAGCCCUAUGAGGAGCGGCUUAAAGAGCUGGGCAGGUUUAGCCUGCAAAAGAGAAGGCUGAGAGGAGACAUGAUGAGGGUCAUGGAUCAAGAUGUGAGGGGAAGUCAUAGGGAGGAGGGAGCAAGCUUGUUUUCUGCUGUCCUGGAGACUAGGACACAAUGGAGCAAUGGCUUCAAACUAUAGGAAAGGAGAUUUGACCUGAACAUUAGGAAGAACUUCCUCACUGUGAGGGCUGUUCAUCACUGGAACUCUCUGCCCCGCAGUGUAGUGGAGGCUCCUUCUUUGGAGGCUUUUAAGCAGAGGCUGGAUGGCCAUCUGUUGGGGGUGCUUUGAAUGUCAUCUUCCUGCUUCUUGGCAGAAUGGGGUUGGACUGGAUGGCCCAUGAAGUCUCUUCCAGCUCUGUGAUUCUAUGAUUCCUAAGGAAAGAGCUAUGAGUAUAUUGAACUCCAUGGGUUCGCAUGGAUGUGGCACUGGGGCCUGUGUGGGUGUGGUUGGAGUGUGGAGGGAUGGAUGUGUUGUUUUGUGAUGUGUGCUGGGGAAAGCAUAUAAUUUCGGUGUGCAAUAAUACAAUGGCCAUAAAGCUAUCAUCUUCUAUUCUACUGAGGUUUCUUUGGUCAUGUCACAAGCAUUUGCUGCAAGCAGACUGCAUUCAGCUGCGCACCGGGGCCACCCCUUGCUCUGCUUCCUUCCUCCCUGAAACCCGUCCUGCAAGAUGUCCCUUCAGGGUUGCUUCACCGGCCACGUUUGCCCGCAAACCAGCUUUCCUUGGGGAGGGCUUAAAAUGACUUCUCAUGGGAGGCUUCGCCAUUUGGUCAGGAUCCCAUCUCCAGACGCACCAUGGGACUCUCUAAGCUGACCCUCUUGGUGGGCCUUCUGGUUCUCUGUCCUGAACCAACAUCAGCCAGCAGCCCAAAGCGAUGGUGUCCAAAAGAAAAGCCAGGAAAGUGUCCUGUUUCACCAGCCUCUGAAACUUGUAAAAAGGAGUGUCUGGACGAUAAUGGCUGCCCUGGAAACCUGAAGUGUUGCUUCAAUGGCUGUGGACGCACUUGUGAAAAGCCAGAGAUCAUUGUCAAACCAGGUGUUUGUCCCUUGUUCAAGAUCCCUCCUGGGCUGCCAUGUGAGUACAGAUGCUGCCAGGACUCCGACUGUAAAGGAAAUGAAAAGUGUUGCCCCCAGGGACCCUGUCGGACCAUCUGUUUUAAACCAGGUUUUUAAGCAAUGGUUCCUGAGCAGCAGCAGAGUCCAACCAGAAGAUGCCAACUCUCCACUUUGCCAAGGCUUUGCUCUCAUGUGAUUGGGCAUUUCUUCCUGACAUCACAUUGUCUCUUUGGCAAUGCAUUUCUCCUCCAGAAUGGUCAACCCUUCCCUCUAGUUUUGGGGAAAUAUACAUUCUUUAGAAGCAGAACAAUCAAGCAAUGGAGCACUCUGGACCGAGCUGGAAAAAUAAAGAAAAAUUCUAUAUUUUAGGGUUGUUGUGUGUUUCCCAGGCUGUAUGGCCAUGUUCUCAGAGGUUGUGAGGUCUGUUGGAAACAAGGCAAGUGGGGUUUAUAUAUCUGUGGAAUAAUGUCCAGGGUGGGAGAAAGAACUCUUGUCUGCUUGAGGCAAGUGUGAAUGUUGCAACUGGCCAGCUUGAUUAGCACUAAAUAGCCUUGCAGCUUCAAAGCCUCCUACCUGGGGGAAUCCUUUGUUGGGAGGUGUUACUUUGAACAUUCCGCAGAUAUAUAAACUUCACUUGCGUAGUUUCCAACAGACCUCACAACAUCUGAUGAUGCCUGCCAUAGAUGUGGGCGAAACAUUAGGAGAAAAUGCUUCUGGAACAUGGCCAGACAGUCCAGAAAACUCACAACAACCUCUGUGAUUCUGGCCAUGAAAGCCUUUGACAACACAUUCUAUAUCUUUCAUUUGAGAUUUGCUUGCAGUAUGUGUGUUCUGAAGUCCAGCAAUGUGCUUUCAUUAAAAAUUCUAAAAAGAAAAAUGCAAGAGUUGGGGGGACCCCAAGGGCCAUCUAAUCCAACCCUCUUCAUCCAUGCAGAAAUGCACAUGUUGAUCAGGCCAGGUUGACAACCCAUCAUACGAGUGAACAAAUCUCAAGAGCUGGGUGCAGAUCUGCAGGAGUCUUCCCGUUCCUUUGAUCCUUUGUUCCGUCUUUUAGAAGCAAUGUAAACUCCUUUUAAUCAUCAGCCUAUGGUGAUCCUUUGUGUUACUCUUUACAAGCAAUAAAAAAGUAGCAUUGAAAUGCC